rnacentral:lncRNA from 1 species
CUAUGUUUCAGUACAAGGAAAACAAAAAUAUCAUGGCCACCCACACAGGCCUGCCCUAGCCACAGAGGUCCCAUUCGACGCUCACUCGGGGACCUGGGAGACAGCGAGGCACUCCACAGCAGCCGGCGGUAAGGACGGGGCGUUCGUGGGGACGCAGUCGGGGCACCAGGAAGCGGGAAGACAGCGGAACAAACUGCUCAAGGCCUUGCCGGGACCAACCCAACCCUCCAACUUCUCAG